GCGAUGUUAGAUAUGUAUAAAGGCUAGAUGGCUCAAGGCGGAGUCCCUAACGGCAUCACCUGGCGGCCAUCUUAGGACAGGGCGCUCGCUCACUCGUAGCAUUGAGUUUAAUGGUGCAGGUACUUUUAAAUGACCAUAACUUGCUCAAUUUUCUACCGAUUUUCAAACGGUUUGGGUUUUUACACACGUUAUUAACGUGGCUAUAAUUCUGGAUGCUUUAACAUGUUUCAUGAAUUUAUUUUUUAUUUUUAGUAUAGGUAUGCAGUGUCAUAGGUACAUCUUUGACGUUUAUAACAAACCAAACCGUUUGAAAAUCGGUAAAAAAUUAAGCAAGUUAUGGUCAUUUAAAAGUAACUGCAUCAUUAAAACUCAAUGCUACGAGUGAGCGAGCGCCCUGUCGUAAGAUGGCCGCCAAAAUGCGGACGAGCCAUCUAGCCUUUAUACAUAUCUAUGAUAUAAACAACAAACGCGAUGUGCUCUGUGUGAUAUCAACACAGUGUGCUAUCAGUUGAAAGAUGGAAGUCCCAAGACUGAAGAAACGACCUUGGCGCUUCUGUGAACAUUGCAACACUGAACUGUGUCAUACACAGUAUUUUGACCACAGAAAGCGCUAUUUCAAAAAUGGAGUUUGGGAGAAAAAAUCCAAAAGGACUACGUCAGGUCAGAUAACGUACAGAGCCUGCUGCUAUCCAGUCAAGAACCCGCUGUGAGUGAUGUCCUGUCAUGUGUAAAGACCCGGAGGAUAACUUUACUGGAGUUAGAGAGAUUGGUGAAAGUGAAAUGAAAUCCGAGGACCCAGAAAAAAAGUGAUUGAAGAAUUUGAAGAAAUGCACCCAGCGAAUUGCAGUUCAAACAACGGUGAGCAGAAUUACAUAUUUUUAUAUAAGCUUGGCUUGCUUUACAUAUGUUAGCAUUUUAAACAAUACUAAAACAUAUCAACAAGUAAAAUAAAAUAAAAUAAAAUCAACAAGUUAAACAAAAACGUUUUGAGUAUGCUAUAUCAAAAAGUAGCCAUCCAGCAUGUUUUAUCUAUUGUGGCAGCCCUUGCUCACAAAAAGGUUGGAGACCCCUGGUCUAGUUAAAUGUGGUUGAUUAUCACUGUUGUUGUUAUUUUAAUAGUAUAAAUUAAUUUAUAAUUAAAUAGGAAUAUCGCGUUAUAAUGCAUAACGGUAUCUUCUGUUUGUUGUUUUUCAGACGAAACAGCAGAUGACCAAAGCAUUCAUCUUUUCCUGGACAUCUCCUGUUGUGUGGAUGACUAUGUGGAUGAAGAGGGGGAAAUCCUUGCUGAGGAGCAGAGUGAAGCCUAUCCUCACAUACAAGAUGGGGAGGAGCAUGGAAGUGAUCAGUCCAGAAGUGAAAAAACAGAACACUUGUUGAUGAAACUUUUGGCCAUGAUAAAAUUGACUGGUAUCCUCCGUGACGACUUCUUACAGUAUGUGGUUUGUCCAAAAUGUAUGACAGUGUACAUGCUUACUGAAACCUAUGAGCGCAGACGGGAUGGUACAAAGGUUUGCAGGACUUGUGGUCACAUCCCGUUCUACAAUCACCCACAGCAGAGGUCUGCAUUAAGGAAGAAAUAUGGCUCUGCCUUGCUAAGAAAGGCUACAUAUUCGAGCGGUGAAGAGUAUGUCCAUCCAAUACGUUCUUACUGUUACAAGAGUGUUGUGCAGUCUCUGGGAGGACUUGUUAAAAGACUUGGAUUUGAAGAGAAAUUAGAUGAAAGGCGAAAGCGGGAACUGCCAAAGGGUGUGUUAGGAGAUGUAAAUGAUGGACAAGUAUGGCAGGAUACCAGUAUGUGAAUUCAAUAAACUGUAGUCAUGCCACUAUGCACAGUAUUUGAGCUGUGAUGUAAUUGCACAAGUUACCUUGCUUCAUUCCCAUCCGGACAGACAUUUUGUUGUUUGACAUGUUGUUUGAUGGUGUUUGCAUAGAAUGGACAAAUUGAGCCUGAUUAAAACUCUGUUAAAACAAUUAAAAUUGUUGAAAUAAA